rnacentral:ncRNA from 2 species
AUAAACCAUUAGGGGGGCCCGAAGAGGCGGGCUGAGAUAGGCACCCGAUGAUGUGCUUGACUCUUUGAACCUGAUCUGGUUAAUACCAGCGAAGGGAAUGUGGGGAGUACUAUAC